rnacentral:snRNA from 1 species
CUGCUUUAUGAACAGCAACUAUACAGAAAUUGGAAUGAUACAGAGAUUGGCCUGGCCCUGUGCCACAAAUUCAUGAAGCAUUCCAUAUUUUU